CUGCCUUUUCCAGCAUGAGAUUAUUCACUCGACGAUGUCACGACUCCCAAGUCUGAUGUCAUGGUUGUUUCCACAGCAACCAAAUUGAAUCAAGGAAUUAAAAACCAGGAGGAACUCACACAGAAUGGCAACACAACACAGGAGUGCCAUGAAGCAAGCCAUACCCUGCACAUGAUCCAAGAUCUCAACACGCCCAGCUGGUACAGUGCUAGCAUAGCUCAGCGAGGAAUAGCACAGCAUUGGAAACUCAGCACCUUGGCAUUGCACUGCUUUCUGAAUCCUGAUUAAAGGACACAAAAACGUGGUGGCACUGCAGGACUACUCCCGCUGGGGAUUAGGGUAGGGUUGCAGGGAGUGUCUCCUCCCACUGCAGCCCCUGUUUCCAUGCAGCCUCAGGGCACCUGGUGCAACCUCUGCCCACCUACAGGUGCCCAGCAGAGCUGCAGCUCCCCUUGGCCUGUGCAAUAUUCAGUGCUCAGAGACUGUGCUGCUCCUUGCUGGAGGAAGCCUGUAUUGCUAAUGGGAGAGGACAGAAGGAUGCAAGAUGAGCUGCUGUGCCAAGACUGCAUCAUUCUUUUCAGCCUCAGAGGUUUCCCCUAGACCCUCCUGCACUCAUCUUCCUCACCUGCAGGAGAUGCAUGCCUUGCCUUUCACUUGCCACAUGCAUCCUGCUCACUGUGCUUCAGUUUCUGAUGAUGCUGAAUACUCUCUUGCCCAACCCAAAGCCCCAAACCACCCCACUGUCCCACCCCUGUGUGAUACACCCUUUUCAGCACCCCACUGCAAAUGCUGGAGCAAAAAGUCCUGCUCCCCUAGCCAGACUGGGGCGAUCCAUGGCACACAGAGCAGGCAGCCCUCCUCAUAUGAAGGCUGCUUGAAGGAGAGUAUUUUUGCUGUGUCAGCAUCUCUGCUUCUCUAUCCCCUGUGUUUGCUGAUUGCAUCCUUGAAGCGUCACUGUCACGUUAGGUUUUCAGCAUGGAGCUGAGCCCUGAGCUCGGAGGGACAUGGAAAUCUGGGGAGGUCUUCUUCAGCAGAGUGCGAGAGGGGACAAAAAAAAAAGAGAAAGAGAAGGAACAACAUCUGCCUCCUCCUCCUGCCUUCUCCUUCCAUUCAACAGCAAGGCUCUUGCUCGAUUGGUAUGUGAUUGCUGAUGCUGUGAGAAGUGCUUGGGAGCCACCAGGUCAGGAUAAAGAGUCAGCACUGCCUACUCUGGGGCAAGGUGGAGGAACUUGGCAGAACCCCAGGACCUGGCAGCACACUCCUGGCAGUGCAGGAACCGAUGCUCGCACCAAGGAUGUGCCAUUCUCCAAAUCACUGCUGCUCACAGAGCUGCUGAAGAUAAACUUGACCUGUGUUACUGUGUCCAUCCUUUGGGUAUGCUGGAGAAAUCACUCCAGCUCUGUUCAACACCUGGGGCUGCACGUGGACUUCUAAUUAGAGGAGGCUGGUUCAUCAAGUAAAGCCCUGCUCCUCGCGCAGCGUGUGCCACAGGAUUCAGCACAACAUCGGCCUCCUUCAAAAAGGUGUUGCUCAGAAAUUCUACACAAAUAAGAAUCCAGUUCUUUGGAUUCUGUAUGAAAAAAUACCGACUGCUGUGAU
ensembl:lncRNA